AUGAAUGCAGCAUGGGUGGUUAGAUGCACAGCUCUGUCCAGCUCCAAGAUCUUCACAAGUGGACCAGCAUCAGACGAUGAGGAAAUAUGUCAUGAAAAUCAAAGCAUGCUUCAAACAUCUUUCCAGAGGAGACCCUUAGGAUAACAGAAAUAUAAAUGUACAAAGAAAAUUAAUCCAGAUCUCUGUGAAGAAAAACAGUGAAAGGCCUAAACAUGUGAAUCUAAUUUCAUGAUUGAAGACUUAUUCGGAGUCUAAGUUUUUGGAAGCAAAUUAUGACUUUUGAGUCACCAGUGCUUUGACUGAUUCCCAGUUAUAAACGAAGACUGAUUCCUGAUUUUAAAGCAAACUGGUUUUUUAUAUUUUUGGAAGUAGACCUGGAAGAUAAUGAUAGGAGGCUAAGAAGUGAGUCUGCAUUUGGUAUGGGAAACCUUCUCCUUAUUUAACAAAAUAUCUUCCAGCAGUUUGUGAAAUAGGCACAAUUAAGGAGCUCUAGGUAAACUUUUUGUGAUGUCUACUUUCUGUGGGAGUCUAAUAUCCCCACAGACCAGUGAGCUGUUGACAAAACCCAUCUAUGCUUUCUGUUUAGUACAACAUCAGCAUAGUUUGCAAAGUUUGUUUUAAAACAAAACAACAACAACAAAAAAGAAAUCAAUCAAGCAUGCAAAGAAGGUAAUUUUUCUUGUCAACAGCAUAUGGAUUCAGGGAAGAGAGAUGGAGAGUUACAGUACAGCAUUAGCCAGUGGGCUGGAGACACUGUUAAGUGAGAAAAUAGGGACUGAAACAAAAAUUCUGUUUUGGGGGAGGGCAGAUAAUUUUAAUGCUGAUAAUUAUUUUCUACAUAAUGUGAUGAAUUAAAUAGUAAAAUGAAGUUUUCUAUCACCUAUCUAAUCACAGUUAGCUAUUGAAAUGUGUUGGAACAUCUUAAACUAUUGGGGAAAUACCUAUUAAAAAAUAGAUAGAAGAAAAUAAUUCAAACACUGUCUUGAUGAAAAGGAAACCUCAGUUUAGGGAGGUUUCCCACCCCCCCCCCAAAAAAAAACCCACCAUAAAUAUAAUUCAGAUGUGAAAUCUUUAAAGCUAUCAGUCUUCCUAUAUAAUGAAAACACAAAGUACUAAAGCAUAAUACAUAAAACUACAGAAAGCAAAAAUAUUUUCAUGAUUUAAAGACACUAUUUUCUUUUUUCCAUUGUCUUCAGUGAUGCUUCCUCAUCACUGACCUGCUUAAAAAAUGAGUAUUUUAUUUGUAGGCUGAGAAAUGCAGGAGAAAAUAAACUCUUGAAGAACAAGGCUGGAGUUCA
rnacentral:lncRNA from 1 species